rnacentral:rRNA from 1 species
UCUACGGGAGGCAGCAGUGAGGAAUAUUGGUCAAUGGACGCAAGCCUGAACCAGCCAUGCCGCGUGCAGGAAGACGGCUCUAUGAGUUGUAAACUGCUUUUGUACGAGGGUAAACGCAGACACGCGUAUCUGUCUGAAAGUAUCUUAUGAAUAAGGAUCGGCUAACUCCGUGCCAGCAGCCGCGGUAAUACGGAGGAUCCGAGCGUUAUCCGGAUUUAUUGGGUUUAAAGGGUGCGUAGGCGGGUGGAUAAGUUAGAGGUGAAAUCCCGCGGCUCAACUUUGGAAUUGCAACUGAUACUGGCAGGCUAGAGAGUAGUUGAGGUAGGCGGAAUGUGUGGUGUAGCGGUGAAAUGCUUAGAGAUCAUACAGAACACCGAUUGCGAAGGCAGCUUACCAAGCUACUUCUGACAUUGAGGCACGAAAGCGUGGGGAGCAAACAGGAUUAGAUACCCCGGUAGUC